rnacentral:lncRNA from 1 species
CGAGAACCACGGAGAAGCAUUUCUGAGCAAACAUACAGGUGUGGGGAAAUCUCUUCAUCGGGCCAGAGCAUUGCAGAAACGUCAUGAAGAUUUUGAAGAAGUGGCACAGAACACAUACACCAAUGCGGAUAAAUUACUGGAAGCAGCAGAACAGCUGGCUCAGACUGGGGAAUGUGACCCCGAAGAGAUUUAUCAGGCUGCCCAUCAGCUGGAAGACCGGAUUCAAGAUUUCGUUCGGCGUGUUGAGCAGCGAAAGAUCCUGCUGGACAUGUCAGUGUCCUUUCACACCCAUGUGAAAGAGGUAAGGUGCC